rnacentral:rRNA from 1 species
UGCAAGUCGAGCGGACAGAUGGGAGCUUGCUCCCUGAUGUUAGCGGCGGACGGGUGAGUAACACGUGGGUAACCUGCCUGUAAGACUGGGAUAACUCCGGGAAACCGGGGCUAAUACCAGAUGCUUGAUUGAACCGCAUGGUUCAAUUAUAAAAGGUGGCUUUUAGCUACCACUUACAGAUGGACCCGCGGCGCAUUAGCUAGUUGGUGAGGUAACGGCUCACCAAGGCGACGAUGCGUAGCCGACCUGAGAGGGUGAUCGGCCACACUGGGACUGAGACACGGCCCAGACUCCUACGGGAGGCAGCAGUAGGGAAUCUUCCGCAAUGGACGAAAGUCUGACGGAGCAACGCCGCGUGAGUGAUGAAGGUUUUCGGAUCGUAAAACUCUGUUGUUAGGGAAGAACAAGUACCGUUCGAAUAGGGCGGUACCUUGACGGUACCUAACCAGAAAGCCACGGCUAACUACGUGCCAGCAGCCGCGGUAAUACGUAGGUGGCAAGCGUUGUCCGGAAUUAUUGGGCGUAAAGCGCGCGCAGGCGGUUUCUUAAGUCUGAUGUGAAAGCCCCCGGCUCAACCGGGGAGGGUCAUUGGAAACUGGGGAACUUGAGUGCAGAAGAGGAGAGUGGAAUUCCACGUGUAGCGGUGAAAUGCGUAGAGAUGUGGAGGAACACCAGUGGCGAAGGCGACUCUCUGGUCUGUAACUGACGCUGAGGCGCG